rnacentral:rRNA from 1 species
CCGCCGGCGACCGGCGCACGGGUGAGUAACACGUAUGCAACCUGGCCGUGACAGAUGGAUAACCGGGAGAAAUCCCGCCUAAUACAACAUAAUGCCGGGAGGGGGACACUCCCCCUGGCCGGCCAAAGGGGGCGACCCCGGUCACGGAUGGGCAUGCGGCGCAUUAGGUAGUUGGUGGGGCAACGGCCCACCAAGCCGACGAUGCGUAGGGGUUCUGAGAGGAAGGUCCCCCACAUUGGAACUGAGACACGGUCCAAACUCCUACGGAAGGCAGCAG